UUAAAGGAAGAAGUAAUCACAGACACUAAUAAAGUAUUAAUAAAAUGCCAGAAAACUGUAUUUGGCAAUUUUAACAAGUGCAUACAGGUACAACUAGAAGCAUUCAGUUUUUUUUUGCCAAGUGCUCUGAAAGCAAUGUUAGUCACAGUCUACAUUAAACAGUUACUGUCACCAAGAAAAAAGGCCAGUACAGAAAGAUUUUGCCAAUAAUGUAUAAUAAUGAUUUACAUCAGAGAGAGGAAAAACGAUUAUGAGUACAUACCUUCUUAAUCUUCAAAAAAUAUAGAAACACAAUGUAUUGAAAAUCAAAAUUGUACAGCCAUGUUUACGUGUUGAGUAUAUACAAUUAAAUCAGUUUUUUUUGGGAGUUUCAAGAGUGUCGUUCUCUUUUUUUAAAAAAAAAACACAAAACACACAAACGCGAAUCAUGGGUCUCUCUCCUUUUUUACUUUGACGUCUCCUGCAAGGAUGGUGGCAAUCUCUCCUUGCAUAAAAGCCCAGGGCACAUUGGAGCCAACCAGUGGGCACUUCUCUCCGCUGGGGCAGUACACCUCGCCUGUGGCUCCCUGUUGCUUGAUGCUCUCCCUGGAGCAGGGGAAGCAGAAUUUGUGCGAGGGCACCGAUGGGCACUGGACAAAGUGGGUGUCCUCCAAGCGUUCAUGGCAUAACGUACAACAGAGGGGCACACUGCUGGGCACCGAGGAGUCUGGAAUGUUUGGCGGGUGAACUGGCUCAAUGCCUGGGUGAGGGUUACCCGCCGGCGCAGCUGCGUCCCGGUGACCCAUCCGCCUCUGGUUCAGGGACGACGGCGAGAGGGGGCUGCUGCUAUUGCGUCGGGUGGUCGAAUGGACCUGUCCAGCUUCCUUUGGCGAGUGCACACUGCCCGCGUUGUCCGCCACCAGAAUCAAGGCGGCCAUGGGAGACUGUCCAUUCUGCCCGCCAUCCGGCGGCGUGGAGUGGGGCGAAGGCGACGGGGCAUAGGGUGCUGGCGUCAUCUUCAACCCAUCGGUGGACAUCAGGGGCCAAGGCUGCCCCUCCCCGUUGACCUUGCUGCCAAGGGGUGGCCCCGUCCCUUCGGUGUCUGGUUCAGGCGACGCUUUCCUCUUGCGUCCUCCCCGAGUACCUGGUGAUGGAGGAGGAAGGAGUGGGAAUGAGGGAGGAGGGGAUGUCAUUUUAAAGGCAGCUUGGCAACACAGAAAACAACAAUAGCAGGCACCUUAGAAGGAAAAUAAACGCACACUCGUGGUCUGGUUGCUUUUGCAGUCAAGCCCCACUUUCCGGAAGUAGCACGCUCUUGUCACAGGCCUGAAUGGCCGAGUGGCUUCUUUCCACCACUUUAUCAAUAAAGAUGAGCAGAGGUAACCCCCUACUAGCCCUCACCGCCCACUUUCCUGAUUCUAGCUUCAUCCCACUGUGUUUGCAAACACAGGGAGACAGUGAGUUCCCUGGGGCAUGCAAAGGUAGCCUCAGCUCGCACCCCACCUCUCCCCAAACAGAGCCCUCACCACCUGCCCGUUCCUUCUGCAGCAACUUGUGCAUUGGGUUAUUGGCACAGGAGACCUGAGAGUGCUGCACUUCUCUAGCGCCUACCUGACUUGGCUGCAGCCGCCGCUGCUGCCGCAGCUGAGGCCUCGAAAGCCAGCACCCGGCCGUGCUGCAGCGGGUGCUCCUUUUUGAAGCGGACAUCGAACGGCGGGUGUCCGGCCAGGCUCAUCAGCGUCUCCUUCACCGUCUUGGGCUUACCGGCCCAGUCAUCAACCCGGUUCUUGAGGCUGUCGGCCAGCUCGGCCAGGCCUUCGGGUCGGUGCUUACUGCUGCUGCAGUCCUUGGCGGUCGCCUCGUGUUCCGGGGGAGCGGAGGAGGAGGAUGAUCCGCUACCGGGCCGUUUGUUUACAUCCAGCAGGCGACCGUUCACACCGUGCGGCUGGGAGGACGAAGACGAGGAAGAGGAGGAGGAAGAGGACGACGACGAAGGAGUAGGUGGAGGAGGCAGAGGGUGCGAGCUGCCGUUCACCAUGGGCACCAGGCUGGGGAGCGGCGGCGGGGGAGCCCCCCUCCUCGAGUUGGGACUCUGCCGGUUCAGCUCGGGCGGCUCGUCCGCCCCCUUGGCGUAGCCGUUCAGCAGCGAGCCGUUCUGCCGAGCCGAGGUCGGGAAUUCCAAGCGAGGGGGAGGCCGGUCGGAUGCCAGCGGGUACCGAUCCAGCGGCUGGGGAGGCCUGGUUGAGCAGCCGUCCGACGGGUGCACCAGCGGCGCCGAGCUCUCUUUAGCCAGGGCCGCUUUGGCGGCGACGGCGACCGGCCCCGGCGAGCGGCCCUCCUGGAAACCGUGUGCCCGCUUCAGUUGGCGGGCCGUGUCGAUCACGAACUCGAUGCGGUCGGCGCCCUCGUAGUUGACGCAUCCCCGGCACACGGGCUCAGUGAAGUCCCAGAUCAUCGCCCACGGCAUGCGGGGCAGGUCGCACAGCAGCGGAUUGCAAUGCCAGAGAGAAAAACGAAGUAACCAAAACCCGGGGCCAGCCUCACCAGACGGAAACGCCAGUCAAUGCGAAGAAAGCGCCUUUGAGAGAAGAAAAACACGCGCGCGCGCACACACACGAGGGCAGUGAAAGGAGAUCCUGAGCGCACUGCAAAUUAGUGAUUCAACCACUCUAAAAUUAGAAGCGGCUGUCAUGAAUGGGACUUCUUUUCCCCCCAACCCGUCCCACGCAACCCCAAUAAAUAAAAGAGCCAACGUGCGAAUUCAUUGUUUUUA